UGCUGACUAGCCGUUGCGGUGGAAGGUGGACUGCGGGAGGUAGCGCUGUUGCGCUGCGCAGAGCUACAAUAUUGUCUCAUACAGUUGUUACAUGUCCGAUCUACCCCCGCCCCCUGGGCUGCCGCUGGAAAAGCUCGCAAACUUGCUGCCGUUUCACAUGAACAAUUCGUGGCGAUAAUUUAUAAAAUAAAUGAAAUGCACUUCAUGGCGACUUGGAUGGCGACCUUCCCGGCAGAUCCAAGUCCGUCCCAAAGCAGUUGCCGUAAUUAAUCUGAGUGUGCGGUCUUGACGUGCCUCUGAAUAGUCUUAGAACCAGAAAGAGAGCGAGAGAGAAAAAGCUAACGCGAUAGAUAGCGGACCGCCAACAAUUAUGGCUGGAUGAUCAUCAUCAUCAUCAUCAGCAGCAGCAUCAUCGUCUUUGUGUGGGCUGCGAAUUGUAUGUGCCCCCCGACACAAAAGGCCAAGCACGCGGGCCCCCGUGCCCCUAACCAACAUACAGAUGAUUAGCAAUAAGUGAUGCUACCUUCUCUUAUGUAUUCUUUAUUUUUUUGGACAGAACCAAAUGAGUAACUCGCAGAAUGCACAGCAGCAACGACAAGUCAAACAAAAGUGAAGAAAACAACAAAUGAGCCGCAGCGAAACCGACAACAACAACAUCAACAACAACAACAGCAAAGCAAAAGCGAAAACGAAAAACUUCAAAUGAAAUCAAAAGUGUAAAUGACAACAAAAGCCAAGCUGCGAGCUCGGGUUUGGCGAGAACCAAAGCCAGCUAAAUAGGCAGAACAAGAAGUACAAGAAGAAGAGUAAGCAGAAGACAAGGAGCGGAAUAACAAGAACAACUAUGUGAAGCACAAAAUGCAAAUCAUUUGCACAAAAGCAGCAACAAGAACAACAACCAAGUGCGGACAAUAAUCAAUUGAAGUGUCUGUCUCUCUAUAUAUUGAAUACACUUUAAGUUUGGAAAGGUAUCACAAAAAGUCAUCCAUUUCGUUGCAGGCAUGAGCUCAUGGGAAUACUAUCAGACUUGGACAUGAAUCGAUCGCACCAUGCUCCAAUCCAUAACCUGCCAUGGCUUGUGACUGCGCUGUCCGGUCGCCCAUUUACGGAACACACAAUGCCGAAAGACGCAAUGAAAAAAUACAAGAAAUUCUUUUGCUGGUUUUCGCUAUGUAUUAUUUAUUUAUUUAUUUUGGAUCGUUUGACUGCCGAAAUAAACACGAGAUCAAGGGUAACCAUGGCCGAAACGCCAGCGUUGUCGUCACUUGUUGUGGAUUCUUCGGCGAUUUUGGUUUGGAUCUUGCUUGCCCGGUUGGGCGAGUAGCUGGAAAACAUUUUAUAGCACCACGCAGCCGUUGUCAUGCCCUUGUAGCGGCUAUGUUAGCUAAGUCACGAAAUGUGUAACGCACGGGAGACAUAUCCGAAAUCACAAAGUACUAUAUAUAUAUAGCUGAUCUGUAUCAACAAACGAAUCACGAUAACUUGGAUCUUACGAGUUUCUACAGCAACAACUUAUACACAUCGGACUAAUAUAUCAUAUAGAUCUAUAGGAAGUAUCGGUCAAAUAAUGAGUUUUGGGUAUUAUUAAACAUACAUGCAUACUUUUACCUUUGAUGGACUACGUCUAUGUCUACUUGAUUUGGGUCCUCCUUUGAC